CUAAUCUAUUGCUGCUAAUCUAUCACUGCUAAUCUAUCGCCGCCAACCUACCUACUGCUGCCAAUCUACCUACCGCUGCCAACCUACCUACCACUGCCAACCUAUCUAUCGCUGCUAAUCUAUUGCUGCUAAUCUAUCACUGCUAAUCUAUCACUGCUAAUCUAUCGCCGCCAACCUACCUACCACUGCCAACCUACCUACCGCUGCCAACCUAUCUAUUGCUGCUAAUCUAUCACUGCUAAUCUAUCGCUGCUAAUCUAUCGCCGCCAACCUACCUACCGCUGCCAACCUACCUACUGCUGCCAACCUACCUACUGCUGCCAACCUAUCUAUCGCUGCUAAUCUAUCACUGCUAAUCUAUCACUGCUAAUCUAUCACUGCUAAUCUAUUGCUGCCAACCUACCUACCGCUGCCAACCUACCUACUGCUGCCAACCUAUCUAUCGCUGCUAAUCUAUCGCUGCUAAUCUAUCGCUGCUAAUCUAUUGCUGCCAACCUACCUACCGCUGCCAACCUACCUACCGCUGCCAACCUACCUACCACUGCCAACCUAUCUAUUGCUGCUAAUCUAUCACUGCUAAUCUAUCACUGCUAAUCUAUCGCUGCUAAUCUAUCGCCGCCAACCUACCUACCGCUGCCAAUCUACCUACCACUGCCAAUCUAUCUAUUGCUGCUAAUCUAUCACUGCUAAUCUAUCACUGCUAAUCUAUCACUGCUAAUCUAUCACUGCCAACCUAUCUACCACUGCCAAUCUACCUACCGCUGCCAACCUAUCUAUUGCUGCCAAUCUAUAUAGGAUAAAUCAUGAUCUCAUUUGGUCCCAUUUUGUAAAAUGAGAUCAAAUGAAACCAGAAUCACUAAUUUAUUAGUAAAACAUGAUCUGAGACUAGAUUUAUAAUAUAAAUAGUGUAAAGUGACUAAUUUACUAAACACUAUAUGAGAUCAGAACUAAGAUAUCUAAUAAUGAAAUUGAGAAAAAAUUUGAUUUCAGUCUCAUACAUGGUUACACAGUCAGUCUAAAGAGAUAUAUGAAUGAAUUCUAAAAAAAUAGAAGUAAUUCUCAACUGAGAGGCAUCUAUUUUAGUAAAAAAGACUAGAAGUUUUCUAGAAUUCAUCAACUUCUAUUGAAGGUUUAUUAAAGACUUCUUAGAUAUUAUAUAAUUACUAAUAAAUUUGAUAUGAAAGAAUGCUGUAUUUUUAGACUGACUGUAUAAUUAUAUAUAAAACUAAGAUUAAAUUUUUUCUCAAUUUUAUUAUUAGAUAUCUUAGUUCUGAUCUUAUAUAGUAUUUAGUAAAUUAAUUACUUUACACUGUUUAUAUUAUAAAUUUAAUUUUAGAUUAUAUUUUACUAAUAAAUUAGUGAUUCUGAUCUCAUUUAAUUUCAUUUUAUAAAAUGAAAUCAAAUGAAACUAUAAUUUACUCUAUAUAGAUUGAUAGUGAUAAAUAAAUUGACAGCAGUAGAUAGAUUGAUAGUAGUAGAUAGAUUGAUAAUAAUAGAUUAGCAGUAAUAGAUUAGCAGUAAUAGAUUAGUAAUAAUAGAUUAGCAGUAAUAGAUAGAUUAACAGCAGUAGAUAGAUUAACAGUAAUAGAUAGAUUGAUAGUAAUAGAUAGAUUGACAGUAAUAGAUUAGUAGUAAUAGAUUAGUAGUAAUAGAUUAGCAGUAAUAGAUUAGCAGCAAUAGAUAGAUUGACAGUAGUAGAUAGAUUGACAGUGAUAGAUAAAUUAAUAGUAAUAAAUAGAUUGAUAACAAUAAAUUAGCAGUAAUAAAUUAGCAGUAAUAGAUUAGCAGUAAUAGAUAGAUUAAUAGUAGUAGAUAGAUUGAUAGUGAUAGAUAGAUUAAUAAUAAUAAGUAAAUUGACAGCAGUAAGUAGAUUGACAGCAGUACUAAGUAAAAUAGAGAUAAUAUCUUCAUCAAUUAUAUCAUCAGAUUGAUGUAUUAUAUAAUCAUCAGAAUGAAAUUAAAUUUAAAUUAAAAUUAUAAUCAGUUUUAGAUUAUAUUCUGAUUUUAAUAGUCAGUCACUUUAUAUAAAAUAUCAAGAUUUUUUAGUUUCAUUUCAUUUAUAUUUUAAUAAUUCUAGUCACUUUACACUCUCAUUCUGAUUCUGAUUUCACUAAAAUUAUGCUAAGAAAUAAACUGAGAUUAAAUCAAAUCAAAUCAAAUAUGUAAUUUAUGAUUUCAGUGAUCAGUCUAUAUAUUUCAAUGAAUCACUGAAAUGAAUACUAUCUUUAAGAAGUUGAAAUAUAUAUUUAUAACCACUUUAAUACUGCAAUCAUUCAAUUCAGAUAAGUAUAUAAUUCUUGAAACAGAUGUUUCAGAUUAUAUGAUGAAUAAAAUGCUAAUAUAAUAUAAUAAUAAAGAUAUUCUAUAACUCUAUAUUUUUAUUUUAAAGAAAAUAUUGCCUGCUGAAUGCAAUUAUAAAAUCUAUAACAAAAAGCUUCUGAUGAUUAUAUAAUAUCUUAAAGAAUGAAAAUCUGAACUUAUAAGUAUAGAGAAGUUUAAAAUUAUCACUGAUUAUAAAAAUCUAGAAUAUUUCAUGAUUAUUUGUAAACUUACAGAGAGAUAUAUAUAUUAAUUACUGUUUCUUAACUGUUUUUUAUUUAUAAUCUGUUAUCAAUCAGAGGCAGAGAAUGCUUUUACAGAUACUCUAUUCUGCUGAGAAUAAAAUAUAUUCUCUAAUAAUCUAGAUAAUAGAUGAAAACACUGAAAAUAUUGAUUAAUUAACUCUGUGAUUAGACUGACUGCUGAAAUUAUAAAUUAUAUAUUUGAUUUAAUUUAAUUUAAUCUCAGUUCAUUUCUUGACAUAAUUUUAAUAAAAUCAGAAUUAGAAUAGAAGUAUAAAGUGACUAGAAUUAUCAAAAUAUAAAUAAAAUGAGAUUAAAAAAUCUUGAUAUUUUAUAUAAAAUAACUGACUAUCAAAAUCAGAAUAUAAUUUGAAACUGAUUAUAAUUUUAACUCAAAUUUGAUUUCAUUCUGAUGAUUAUAUAAUAUAUUAAUCUGAUGAUAUAAUUGAUGAAGAUAUUAUCUCUAUCUUAUUUAGUACUGCUGUUAAUCUAUUCAUUACUGUUAAUUUACUCAUUAUUGUUAAUUUAUCUACUACUAUUAAUCUAUCUACUGCUGUCAAUUUAUCUAUCACUGCUAAUUUAUUACUGUUAAUCUAUUACUAUUAAUCUAUUACUAUCAAUUUAUCUACUGCUGUCAAUCUAUCUACCACUGUCAAUUUAUCUAUCACUGCUAAUCUAUCACUGCUAAUCUAUUGCUGUCAAUUUAUCUACUGCUAUCAAUCUAUCUACUGCUAUCAAUCUAUCUAUUGCUGCUAAUCUAUUGCUGCUAAUCUAUCACUACUAAUCUAUUACUAUUAAUCUAUUACUAUUAAUCUAUUUAUCACUGUCAAUUUAUCUAUCACUGUUAAUCUAUCUACCACU
rnacentral:sRNA from 2 species